rnacentral:rRNA from 1 species
GACAGAGGAUGCAAGCGUUAUCCGGAAUGAUUGGGCGUAAAGCGUCUGUAGGUGGCUUUUUAAGUCCGCCGUCAAAUCCCAGGGCUCAACCCUGGACAGGCGGUGGAAACUACCAAGCUGGAGUACGGUAGGGGCAGAGGGAAUUUCCGGUGGAGCGGUGAAAUGCGCAGAGUAUCAGGAGGAACACCAAUGGCGAAGGCAGCACUCUGGGACGGUACUGACGCUGAGACGCGAAAAGCGUGGGGAGCAAACAGG